rnacentral:rRNA from 1 species
AGUGGGGAAUAUUGCGCAAUGGGCGAAAGCCUGACGCAGCCAUGCCGCGUGUGUGAAGAAGGCCUUCGGGUUGUAAAGCACUUUCAAUUGGGAGGAAAGGUUCGUAGCUAAUACCUGCGAGCUGUGACGUUACCUUUAGAAGAAGCACCGGCUAACUCCGUGCCAGCAGCCGCGGUAAUACGGAGGGUGCGAGCGUUAAUCGGAAUUACUGGGCGUAAAGCGCGCGUAGGCGGUUUGUUAAGUCGGAUGUGAAAGCCCCGGGCUCAACCUGGGAAUUGCACCCGAUACUGGCCGACUGGAGUGCGAGAGAGGGAGGUAGAAUUCCACGUGUAGCGGUGAAAUGCGUAGAUAUGUGGAGGAAUACCGGUGGCGAAGGCGGCCUCCUGGCUCGACACUGACGCUGAGGUGCGAAAGCGUGGGGAGCAAA